AGAAUGAACGCUAGCGAUAUGCUUAACACAUGCAAGUUGAACGUUGUUUUCGAAUCAGAAUGAGAACAAAGUAGUGAACGGGUGCGUAACACGUGGGAAUCUGCCGAACAGUUUGGGCCAAAUCCCGAAUGAAUAAAAGCUAAAAAGCGCUGUUUGAUGAGCCCACGUAGUAUUAGGUAGUUGGUUAGGUAAAAGCUGACCAAGCCUACGAUGCUUAGCUGGUCUUUUCGGAUGAUCAGCCACACUGGGACUGAGACACGGCCCAGACUCCUACGGGAGGCAGCAGUGGGGAAUCUUGGACAAUGGGCGAAAGCCUGAUCCGGCAAUAUGGCGUGAGUGAAGAAGGGCAACGCAGCUUGUAAAGCUCUUUCAUCGAGUGUGCGAUUGUGACAAGACUCGAAUAAGAAGCCCCGGCUAACUCCGUGCCAGCAGCCGC
rnacentral:rRNA from 1 species